GAUAUUCUAGCUAUUCAUUGACUCAUGGGGACUCUGUUUGAUGUGUCCCGCUUCAGCUGGCGUCUGAGCGCUUCGAGGAGGGAGAGCGAGCGCUGAGAGAGGCCAGACAGGUGGAGGCCGAACACCAGACACGACUGCGCAACAUACACGCACAGAUGGAGAGACUGCGGCAGCAAGAGCACAGCCUACAGCAGGAGCGCUUGAGGAUGACGGAUCAUCACAGAGACGUGGAGCGACUGAAACACACUCUUCCCGUCAGCCCUCUGGCCUCCACUCAACCGCUUAUCACAGAUCUGUCUCCAGUGUUGACCAGCACACACCUGAGUACCGCUUUGAACCCGCUGCCCACUGAACUGCACGCCAGACUCGCCAUCAUCAAACACACUGCUGAGAAGGACAGAGACUUCCUGCAGGAGGAGCAGUAUUUCCUGGAAACGCUGAAGAAAACAUCCUACAACUCCAACACAUGA
rnacentral:lncRNA from 1 species